AUGGCUCAGGAUGAACGCUGGCGGCGUGCCUAAUACAUGCAAGUCGAGCGAAUGGAUUGAGAGCUUGCUCUCAAGAAGUUAGCGGCGGACGGGUGAGUAACACGUGGGUAACCUGCCCAUAAGACUGGGAUAACUCCGGGAAACCGGGGCUAAUACCGGAUAACAUUUUGAACCGCAUGGUUCGAAAUUGAAAGGCGGCUUCGGCUGUCACUUAUGGAUGGACCCGCGUCGCAUUAGCUAGUUGGUGAGGUAACGGCUCACCAAGGCAACGAUGCGUAGCCGACCUGAGAGGGUGAUCGGCCACACUGGGACUGAGACACGGCCCAGACUCCUACGGGAGGCAGCAGUAGGGAAUCUUCCGCAAUGGACGAAAGUCUGACGGAGCAACGCCGCGUGAGUGAUGAAGGCUUUCGGGUCGUAAAACUCUGUUGUUAGGGAAGAACAAGUGCUAGUUGAAUAAGCUGGCACCUGACGGUACCUACC
rnacentral:rRNA from 2 species